rnacentral:piRNA from 2 species
AUCACAUCGACUUCGGGGUGGGCUG